AACGCACAUUGCGCCCCUUGGUAUUCCAUGGGGCAUGCCUGUUCGAGCGUCAUUUGUACCUUCAAGCUUUGCUUGGUGAUGGGCGUCUUGUCUCGUAAAGAGACUCGCCUUGAAGAUAUUGGCAGCUAGUUAACAUUAGUAAUGCGCAGCACAAUUUGCGUCCUUGCUGUGAAAAUUAGUAUCCAUAAGUAUACCAUUCCACGUUUGACCUCGGAUCAGGUAGGGAUACCCGCUGAACUUAA
rnacentral:misc_RNA from 1 species